rnacentral:rRNA from 1 species
UACGUAGGGGGCGAGCGUUGUCCGGAUUUAUUGGGCGUAAAGAGCGUGUAGGCGGUUCGGUAAGUCUGUCGUGAAAUCCCGAGGCUCAACCUCGGGCGUGCGAUGGAUACUGCCGGGCUAGAGGGUGGUAGAGGCGAGUGGAAUUCCCGGUGUAGCGGUGAAAUGCGCAGAUAUCGGGAGGAACACCAGUAGCGAAGGCGGCUCGCUGGGCCACACCUGACGCUGAGACGCGAAAGCUAGGGGAGCGAACAGG